GCACAAGAGAGCUUGCUCUCUGGGUGACGAGCGGCGGACGGGUGAGUAAUGUCUGGGAAACUGCCUGAUGGCGGGGGAUAACUAGUGGAAACGGUAGCUAAUACCGCAUAACGUCGCAAGACCAAAGUGGGGGACCUUCGGGCCUCACGCCAUCAGAUGUGCCCAGGUGGGAUUAGCUGGUAGGUGGGGUAACGGCUCACCUAGGCGACGAUCCCUAGCUGGUCUGAGAGGAUGACCAGCCACACUGGAACUGAGACACGGUCCAGACUCCUACGGGAGGCAGCAGUGGGGAAUAUUG
rnacentral:rRNA from 1 species